UACCGUGAGGGAAAGGUGAAAAGAACCCCGGAAGGGGAGUGAAAUAGAACCUGAAACCGUAUGCUUACAAACAGUGGGAGCACGUUAAUGUGUGACCGCGUGCUUUUUGUAGAACGAGCCAGCGAGUUACGGUAUGUAGCAAGGUUAAGCACUUAAGGUGCGUAGCCGAAGGGAAACCGAGUCUGAAUAGGGCGACUAGUUGCAUGCUGUAGACCCGAAACCGAGUGACCUAUCCAUGGGCAGGUUGAAGCGGAAGUAAAAUUCCGUGGAGGACCGAACCACGUUGGUGUUGAAAAACCAUGGGAUGACCUGUGGAUAGCGGAGAAAUUCCAAUCGAACUCGGAGAUAGCUGGUUCUCCUCGAAAUAGCUUUAGGGCUAGCGUCUGGUUAUUGAGUAAUGGAGGUAGAGCACUGAAUGGGCUAGGGGCUG
rnacentral:rRNA from 1 species